rnacentral:lncRNA from 1 species
AAAAAGGUCAUCAGAGAGAUUUAUAUUGUAUCACAGUGAUUGAAUUUUUGAAAUUAUGACAUAAAAUGAGUCCCUUUGUGCGAAGAUGUUUGCUAUUUUUGUUUGAUGAUGCUGACGAGCUAAUUACCUAAUUAAACUGAAGUGGCUUUGAUAGUCAUUUGGGGAAUCAUAUCUACUUGACCUGGCUGCAACAAAAGAAGAGUUAUGUCCAUAAAAAGAAAAGUAUGUAUGAACAAUUAAAGAUUCUAUACUACUUUAUGGCAGAUAAGAAGUACC